rnacentral:rRNA from 1 species
GAUGAACGCUGGCGGCGUGCCUAAUACAUGCAAGUCGAGCGAACGGACGAGAAGCUUGCUUCUCUGAUGUUAGCGGCGGACGGGUGAGUAACACGUGGAUAACCUACCUAUAAGACUGGGAUAACUUCGGGAAACCGGAGCUAAUACCGGAUGAUAUUUUGAACCGCAUGGUUCAAAAGUGAAAGACGGUCUUGCUGUCACUUAUAGAUGGAUCCGCGCUGCAUUAGCUAGUUGGUAAGGUAACGGCUUACCAAGGCAACGAUGCAUAGCCGACCUGAGAGGGUGAUCGGCCACACUGGAACUGAGACACGGUCAAGACUCCUACGGGAGGCAGCAGUAGGGAAUCUUCCGCAAUGGGCGAAAGCCUGACGGAGCAACGCCGCGUGAGUGAUGAAGGUCUUCGGAUCGUAAAACUCUGUUAUUAGGGAAGAACAUAUGUGUAAGUAACUGUGCACAUCUUGACGGUACCUAAUCAGAAAGCAACGGCUAACUACGUG